AUUGAACGCUGGCGGCAUGCUUUACACAUGCAAGUCGAACGGUAACAGGCCGCAAGGUGCUGACGAGUGGCGAACGGGUGAGUAAUGCAUCGGAACGUGCCCAGUCGUGGGGGAUAACGCAGCGAAAGCUGCGCUAAUACCGCAUACGAUCUAUGGAUGAAAGCGGGGGACCGUAAGGCCUCGCGCGAUUGGAGCGGCCGAUGUCAGAUUAGGUAGUUGGUGGGGUAAAGGCUCACCAAGCCGACGAUCUGUAGCUGGUCUGAGAGGACGACCAGCCACACGGGGACUGAGACACGGCCAAGACUCCUACGGGAGGCAGCAGUGGGGAAUUUUGGACAAUGGGCGCAAGCCUGAUCCAGCGAUGCCGCGUGCAGGAAGAAGGCCUUCGGGUUGUAAUCUGCUUUUGUACGGAACGAAAAGGCUCUGGUUAAUACCCAAAGUCUUGACGGUACCAGGGGAAUAAGCACCGGCUAACUCUGUGCCAGCCGCCGCUGUAA
rnacentral:rRNA from 1 species